CGGCGUGUAGCGCAGCCUGGUAGCGCACUUGCAUGGGGUGCAAGGGGUCGCGAGUUCGAAUCCCGCCCCGCCGACCA
rnacentral:tRNA from 1 species